AUGGACCCAGCAGACACUCUAAGGCUCAUUGAAGCCAUCGAGAAAUUGAACCCAGAAGUUAUCAAGAAAUCAAACCAGAUAGAGAUGGACCCAAUAGUCACUCUGAGGCUCAUUGAAGCCAUCGAGAAAUUGAAGGAGCUUAAUAUGGAGUCGCCUUUCGAUGCGUUAUCUGAGUGUAAAAAGUCAUUCAUUGAGGUUUCUAAAGCUAUCACAUUGUUCGCUGGCGCUGGUCUCAAUGCAUUGAAUGUCUUUGUUGUUGCUGUGGUUUACAUGUCAAAACACAUGAUGCUUGGUAACGAAGGUGGUACUAAUACUGCUCCAGCAGGCGUCCUUCCGACCGAAAGUGCUCCUGCCCCUUUCAGUAUUACUCAAUCAAUUCUUAUUCUUGGAACGAUGUUUUACUUCCUUUUUACAAGCUAUGCUGUGGCCGUGGCCCAUGCCGCCGUUCAUCGCAGAGAGUGGUUCUCAAAGCUUGUAGUGAUAAUGAUCUUGGAAAUCUUUCUUGUGAAUGCAACACCGAUGCUCUAUGCUUACCUAAUUUCCGAGGGUGACUUUUGA
rnacentral:rRNA from 1 species